ACAGCAGCCGCCGCGGUAAUACGAAGGGUGCAAGCGUUACUCGGAAUUACUGGGCGUAAAGCGUGCGUAGGUGGUGGUUUAAGUCCGUUGUGAAAGCCCUGGGCUCAACCUGGGAAUUGCAGUGGAUACUGGGUCACUAGAGUGUGGUAGAGGAUAGUGGAAUUUCCGGUGUAGCAGUGAAAUGCGUAGAGAUCGGAAGGAACAUCUGUGGCGAAGGCGACUAUCUGGGCCAACACUGACACUGAGGCACGAAAGCGUGGGGAGCAAACAGGAUUAGAGACCCCCGUAGUCCCUGUCUCUUAUAA
rnacentral:rRNA from 1 species